rnacentral:rRNA from 1 species
AGAUGGCGACCGGCGCACGGGUGAGUAACACGUAUCCAACCUGCCGAUAACUCGGGGAUAGCCUUUCGAAAGAAAGAUUAAUACCCGAUGGUAUAAUUAGACCGCAUGGUCUUGUUAUUAAAGAAUUUCGGUUAUCGAUGGGGAUGCGUUCCAUUAGGCAGUUGGUGAGGUAACGGCUCACCAAACCUUCGAUGGGUAGGGGUUCUGAGAGGAAGGUCCCCCACAUUGGAACUGAGACACGGUCCAA